UACGUAGGGUGCAAGCGUUAAUCGGAAUUACUGGGCGUAAAGCGUGCGCAGGCGGUUUUGUAAGUCAGAUGUGAAAUCCCCCGGGCUCAACCUGGGAAUGGCAUUGGAUACUGGCUCGCUAGAGUGCGGUAGAGGGUGGUGGAAUUCCCGGUGUAGCAGUGAAAUGCGUAGAGAUCGGGAGGAACAUCUGUGGCGAAGGCGGCCACCUGGACCAACACUGACACUGAGGCACGAAAGCGUGGGGAGCAAACAGG
rnacentral:rRNA from 1 species